GCAAGUCGAACGAGAUCCUUCGGGGUCUAGUGGCGAACGGGUGCGUAACGCGUGGGAAUCUGCCCUUUGGUUCGGAAUAACAGUUGGAAACGACUGCUAAAACCGGAUGAUGACGAAAGUCCAAAGAUUUAUCGCCAAGGGAUGAGCCCGCGUAGGAUUAGGUAGUUGGUGGGGUAAAGGCUCACCAAGGCGACGAUCCUUAGCUGGUCUGAGAGGAUGAUCAGCCACACUGGGACUGAGACACGGCCCAGACUCCUACGGGAGGCAGCAGUGGGGAAUAUUGGACAAUGGGCGAAAGCCUGAUCCAGCAAUGCCGCGUGAGUGAUGAAGGCCUUAGGUUUGUAAAGCUCUUUUACCCGGGAAGAUAAUGACAGUACCGGGAGAAUAAGCUCCGGCUAACUCCGUGCCAGCAGCCGCGGUAAU
rnacentral:rRNA from 1 species